GACGAACCGAGCGAACGUUGUUCGGAAUCACUGGGCGUAAAGGGUGCGUAGGCGGGUCUUUAAGUCAGGGGUGAAAUCCUGGAGCUCAACUCCAGAACUGCCUUUGAUACUGAAGAUCUUGAGUUCGGGAGAGGUGAGUGGAACUGCGAGUGUAGCGGUGAAAUGCGCAGAUAUCAGGAAGAACACCCGUGGCGAAGGCGGCUCUCUGGGACGGUACUGACGCUGAGACGCGAAAGCGUGGGGAGCGAACAGG
rnacentral:rRNA from 1 species